rfam:Oryza nivara chromosome 3, whole genome shotgun sequence.
AAAAUGACAAACCCUGAUUUCCGUGUCCAACGUUUGACCGUCCGUCUUAUUUGAAAAAAUUAAAAAGACAAAUCACGUAUAAAAUAUUAAUCAUGUUUUAUCAUCUAACAAUAAUGAAAAUACGAGUUAUAAAAAAAUUCAUAUAAUACGGACAGUUAAAGUUGGACACAAAAAUCCAGGGUUUGCCUUUUU